GUUCUAAUUUUUAUGUUUUUGUUAUUGUUUGUAGCCUUUAGUUAUUUAAUGCAGAGGACCAUGUAAUUCUUCCUAAUGGCCUAAAGGUUAGUUAUUUCUAUAGUCCUAUCACAGAAGUUUGAUUGUGGUAUGCUUGUGUAAUUGAAUAAUAUUAAAAUUACAUUUUUGUAAAUAUGUGGAUUGUAAUCCUAACAAUGUUGGGAACAAUCAGGAUUUUAAAACCUUAAAUGAGUUCUUUUCUUUUUUGUGCUUUAAUUGAAAAUUGAAAGAAUGUCAUCUACAUAAAUGAAUUAACUGAAAUAAUCUCGUGGAAAAAACUGCAAUGCUUGAGGAGUAGAUUUCAUUUUCAGAUCCAAAACCUUUUGAUUAUGUAUUGUAGACUGUUCAAUGGAGGUUGUGGUUGAUGAACUAUUUACAAAUGAUUCUUAUUUUUUAUUUUGUAAUUUAGUUUGUUACCUAUUAUGGAUAUUGUCUAUAAUAUUGGAAAAUCUAAUAUGUAAAGAUAAAACUAAUACCAAUAUUGUUGAAUCAAUAUGAUGUGUGUUUCAUGACAAAGAGUAAUACACGUUAAAUAUAGAGAAAAUUAGCCCUUUUCAAAGGAAGGAAUUUGUUAGGAAAAAACAAAGCAUUUUAUUUCAAAGGAAAGAAUAGUUGAAUGUGUUGUGGUCCCACUUUUUGUUUUGUAUUAUGAAUCCAAUUAACGAAAUGUAAUUUUCAUCAAAUGUUCAUUUUUCUGUAUUUAUUUUUAUUACUAUUAUUAUUAUUAUUAUUAUUAUUAUUAUUAUUAUUAUUAUUAUUAUUAUUAUUAUUAUUAUUAUUAUUAUUUUGUGUUAUCAAUUCUAAUUGCAAGUUACAAUGUUUAAAAGAAAGCAUGUUGCUCUCAUUAUGUAAACAGUGAGCACUAACAAGAUGAGUGUCUACAUUAAGACAUGUAGUAGAGGUGAUCCAGAUUAAUAUCUUAUAUUUUUUCUAUGUAUUUUAUAUUUAACAAGAAAUGAUAUCAAUUUGUGCAGAUACUUCAUGCUUCUAGUGGACAUCAACGAGUUAGGGAAUCUUUCGGUGAUGACAUCGAUGACAAUGAGUUGUUGGUUUCUCCCUCUAGCCAAUGAGCGGUUUUCAUAUUUUGAAAGACUCUUGUGGUGCUUUUGUUCUUUCCCACAUGUUCUUUCGUAUCAGCCGACUCUUUUCACAUGUGAGGAGAAAUUUGAUGGAAGUGAAGGUUCCGACGAUGAUUUAAGGCCAACAAAUGGACAUGGAUGAUUAGCCCCUUCACCAAAAGUGACUAGUGACCAUUUUUUUAUAUUUUUUAUAGACGUGAUGUAAUUUGGAUGGCUUCUUUAUGGAGGAUGUUAUGUGGAUGUAAAUUUGAUUUUGGUAAUCCAUGUAUGUGUAGAUUAUUGAUGCGUAAGGUUGUAAAUUUGAUUUUGGAUGCCAAACUAUUCGGCACAAAAUGCAUUCAUAUUGCAAGAGUACAGAGCAAUUGAUUGUGUACCAUUGCCAGCCAAGUUUAAACAAUACAAAUUUACUCCAA